rnacentral:rRNA from 1 species
UACGGGGGGGGCAAGCGUUGUUCGGAAUUACUGGGCGUAAAGGGCUCGUAGGCGGCCAACUAAGUCGGAUGUGAAAUCCCCAGGCUCAACUUGGGAACUGCAUCCGAUACUGGAUGGCUUGAAUUCGGGAGAGGGAUGCAGAAUUCCAGGUGUAGCGGUGAAAUGCGUAGAUAUCUGGAGGAAUACCGGUGGCGAAGGCGGCAUCCUGGACCGAUAUUGACGCUGAGGAGCGAAAGCUAGGGGAGCAAACAGG